rnacentral:misc_RNA from 1 species
AGCUCAAAGGAAGCGACACUCUGUCUUGUUUCCUGGCGAAAUCAUAGAGCUUCAUCGAAGACUUCCUCCUCCCUCCUCCUCUUGUAUCGCCCUGCUUCACAUCUCUCCGUUCUCCCUUUUUUUGUACUCUCUUUACGUAUUUGUUUUCGCUCCCUUUGGAUAGACGGACGAAAGCCACUCUUGCCCCCUUUCCUACCCCCUUCCACCACCGCCACUCCCGUCGCCCUUUUCCUGCCUUUCGCACCCCUUCCUUCACUGGAAUUUUAUCAUUGUGUGUCGUGCGCUUAUUUUAUUUGUUUUUCUUCGUUCUACCGCCCUCUCUGUCUCUGUGUGUGUGUGCAGUAACAUACGCCGAUGCUUGAGCACAGGUGAUUCAAAGGAAAAAAACAAGCGAAGGAAAACACGACACGCGUCGCUCUUCCGCUGUGGAAACUUUCUCUAUUUCUGCACGUGCUGUGUCGGUCUCGCGCGCACACAUACACAGCAGCAGCGGCAGCGAAACACGGCGGUUAAACCCAGGGAAAAGAAAGCGGGUUUAUCAUCGACGACAGCGUGCGCACAGGCAUACGUAUACGUUCACAGAAAAGAGAAAAGCGGGCUCAUCUUCUCAUAGACACUUGAAAAAGAGGAAAGGGCCAAAUCGGGAGAGUGAGUGGGGCAUUGAAGAGAGCACAAGCGGAGACAGACUCGAGGAGCUGCAGAGAAGUGAGCGACAAGAGCAGUAGCGGCAGCGGCAGUGAGGGACUGUUUUCGUUUUGGUGUGUUUAGCAUAUCUUUCUACCCUUUUGUGUUUUCGCUGAGCGAGCGAGAAUCGGGAUUCAGGGAUCGCAAGGAGCGAAAAAGGGUCCUACGCUUGCAUGUGUUGGCGCCUUCGACAACUAUCGUCAGUGCGCGUUCGUUUUCCUUCUUCAGUCACUUUUUUCGUGUUCUUUACAUCCGUUCGCUUCAUUGGUUCACUGCCUUGUCUCUCUUCGUUGUGUAGGGGCUGUCUUGCACUCCUCAUCUCUUCCACACUUCUGGCCGGCACGAAGAAACAUAGAAAGCGUCUCUUUCCCUCCUCACGGACCCCCCCUUUGCCCCUCCGUGUGUGUGUGUGUAUAUGCCCGUGCUGGAGAUGUCGGAGCGCCGUGGUACGUCGUCUGUGAAGCUGGCGCCGCCUGUGCCGUCGCCAUCUCCAUCGCGCGAUGAAGCGAGCGUCCAUGAUGCACUGAAGGACGGAAAGUUUAGCGCAGAGGGGACCAUCGCAUCUGUGUCCACGACGGGGUCGUCGACGCCGAACACGAAUAACGUGGCCGCUGCGGCCCGCGACGACUCAGAAGGUGUUACGACUUCGUCGCCGAGCAACCCAGCCGGGUCUGCGGGUCGCGGGGCGAGCGUGAAUUCGCAAAGCGAGGCUUGCCUCACUCCCUCAGCGCAUGUGCAGCCAGUGCAGUUCACCUCACCUGAGAGGCUCAGCGUUGCAGGCAGUGCGGCUGCAGAGCUGGGGGGCGACGAGGUGCUACCGCCUCUCGCGAACAGCCCCGUGCAACACUCGCAGAAGACGACUGAGGCUUCUGGCGCCAAGAGAAACGCGCCUCCGGCCGACGAGGAGCUUGUGGAUUCUGCUCCCCGAUCGCCCUUCCGGCGUGGCGCCAGUCACGCCAACGGAGCUGAAGAUCUCAUGCCGAGGGAUCGCUUGGUUGCCUCAGCCGCCGCUACCGCUGAUCGCGGUGCUGCGCAGGGUACCAACACCUUUCACCCUAGCGCAGGCAGUCCCCACAACUUUACAGUCGGCUUCAACGAUUCGCCAUUGAACGGGGCGCGACAGGCUGAGGGUCGCGCACGGGCUACUUGUGCUGCUGGGCCCCUGCCACGGUGCCACAUCAGUGGUGCCAGCCCUGUGCAGGACACUGCUUCCUCCAUGCCUCGCCCGCCGGGAGGCUACGCUUCAGGCGGUGCCGCACCGCGCACUUUUUCCUCUGAGUCCACCUUCUACGACCAGCGCCUCAGCGCUGCGGCGACAACGUCACCAGCCGGUAUGAACAGCUCCGGCUACACGCCUUCUCAGCGUUCCUUGGUGCAGUACGUCGCGCCUCCUGGCGACACGGCGACUCCGUCGUACGGUUGCCGCGAUCCCGCAACCGGCAGUGAUGCCGGCUACAGUCCUAGCCGCCACGCGGAAAUCCGCGCGAUGCUCAUCACAGCGGAGCGUGAGCUGGCCGAUAUGCGCGAGGAGUGUGCGAAGCGUGGAAUGAGGGCUGAUACACUCGAGGCUGCGCUGGAUCGAGAGCGUGCAAAUCUGCGUGCGCUGCGUGACCGCUACGCCGACGAGGCCGCUGCCGCCCGCGAAGAACACGAGGCGCAAACCCGGCAGCUGCGCGAUCAGCUGCACGUGCUCAAGGUGGUCUCCGAGAACGCGAUGGCUGAGAAGAGCAAGGCGGCCGAGGACGCAACGCGACGCAAGAAGGAGCUGUUGGAGCUGCUUGAUCGCGAGCGGGAGGAGAAGAGCUACAUUAUGGCAGACUACCGCGAACAAACAGAGUCGCUGAUCGCAGAGCAAGGACGCGAGAUCACGUAUCUGCGCGGCGCUCUCGACAAGCUCAAGGGCGAGUACGACGACUUAGCGAAACAGCACCAGGUGGUGGAGGAGGAGCUGGAGGGGUUGCAAGAGAAGGUGGAGAACGUCACGGCGCAGCUCGACAAGGAGCGGUCGGACGCCGCCAGCAAGACGAAGGACCUGCAGGCCAACAUGCAGCAGGAAUGCCAAGCCCUCACCGAGCAGCUCGCCGCGAUGCAGGAGCAGCUGCAGAGGGCUUCCACCCAGCACGCGGCCAAGCAGCAGGCUCUCACCGAUCAGCUGCAGAAAGGCGAGGAGAAGCAGCGUGUCACCGAGGAGGAGUACCAGUACACACUCGACACGCUCAAGCAGGCGUACCGCCGCGACACAGACAGUUUGCGAGAGGAGCUGAAUCGCCUAAAGGAGACGCACGGCAAACAAGAGGAGGAGCUGCGCCAUGACUUGGAGAAGGCUGCGAGGAGGGAGAGCAAGUCCGUCGAGGCUCUGCGGCAGGCGCUGGAGCAGGCGCGUCAGGAGAAGGAGCUGAGCGUGGAGGACAGCUUCAAGCAGCGUGAGGUGCUGCAACGCCAGCACCGUGACAAGGUAGCGGCUCUUCAGAAGGAGCUCGACGCGACGGUACAGCAGCUGACAGAGGAGCGUGAGGCACGCAAGGACCGUGAGGCGGAUGUGGAGGUGCUGCGGGUGCGCGCGGACAACCUGGAAAAGGCAAACCAGCGCCUCUCCAACGAACUGGAGACGAUCCAGGCAGACCAGCGCAGUCGGGAGCGGUCGACAGAGCAGGCGCACCAAGCCGCCGUAGAGGCAAUGCGGACGAAGCUGCGCACGGCACUUACCGAUCUGGGCUACGCGCAGGAUCAGCUGACGCAGCAGGCGGCCGAUGCGCAGCAGCUGCGUGACGAACUAGCGAAGCGCACCAGCGCUCUCGAGGCGGCGAAGGAGAAGAUAGUUAUGUUGGAAAGAGCCUCUGCGGACGAGCUCGGCAAGGCGAAGGACACGGCAGUGCAGCGGGAGAAGGAGGCUGCUCAAGUCAUCACACAGCUGCGCACCAGCAAGACGCAGCUGGAGGCGGCAUGCGAGCAGCUGGAGCGGCAGCUGAGAGAGACGGAGGGCCGAGUGCAGGGCACGACCAAGCAGGUCAACGAAGAGCGCCGUUCACUGGAGGAAGCAAACCGCAGACUGCAGGAUGCUCGUGUUGAGGUGGAGGACUUGCGCGCGGUCGUGAAUCACGAACGGGAGCGUGGCACCUUUCUCCAGGAAGAAAAGCGACAGGUGGAGCGUCAGCUCGCCGAGGAGAAGCUCUAUCGCGAGGAGCUCGAGAACCAAUUACACAUGGCAGAGCGGAGGCUGCAGGAGCAGCAGCAGGACCACGCUCGCCAGCUGCAGCAGAUGGAGGGAAAGCUGGAGGAGCAGGUGCAGCGGCACCACGCGGAGCUGGCGGCUUCCCGCAUUGCGGCCGAGCAGGUGCGCGGUGAGGUCGGUCGCGCGCGAGAGGCGAUUGUGGAGAAGGAGACGGCGUUGCAGCAGAUGCGGGAGGAAGUGGGGCGGCUGCAUCGCGAGGCCGCUAUGCGCGAAGGUGGGCUGCAAGAGGAAAUGGAGGAUCUUCGGGAGGCGCACGAGGUGGAGAUACGCCGUAUGGAUGAGCUUCUGAACGGGCUGCGCAGCGACUUGGCCAAGUCACAGGCCACGUGCACCCAAUAUCAACGAGAGCUCUCACAGAUGCACCAAAACUCGGCCGGCGCGCGAUCGGACUUGGAGAUGGCACUGGAGCAGGCUGAUGCGGCUCGGGCAAAGCUGCUGGAGGAUGCCAAGUACAGGGAGCAGCUGAAUCAGGAGCUGCAGGGGACAGUGCGUCUGCUGAGCUCCCGACUCACAUCAAACGAAGAGGAGGUGCGCCGGAUGCAGGAGGAGCUGGCGGACACGAAUAAACGAAUUCAAGACGCCCACACGCUGAUUGGCCGCAAGGAUGCGGCAAUCGGGCAGUUGAACGCAAAGUUGCGCGCGUACGAGUCGCGCCACUGAGACCCCGUAGGUUUCAUGGCGCGUAUGUGUGUGCCGAAGUAUUCACGCGCCGUGAGGGGAUCAGCUGCUUUUUCUUUCGUGUCGUCUCCAUUCGUGACGUGUGCUAGACAAAAACAACGGUGAAGGCCCAAGGGAGGAAGAGGAGAGGGAGAGGCUAGGGGAAGGCAAGGUGGCGUGUAGAUGCGCUUUACAGCGGACAUGCGUGUGAUGCGAGACGCGGCUUCCUCCUUCCUGAACUUGUCCUCGCGCGAAUUAUGUUUUCCUCUUUACCGUGUGUCCGCUGAUCGUCUUUUUCUUCCUGCCCCUCUCCGCAGCUAGUUCUCACCUUUUUGUGGUGUUAUGGCUGCUGUAGCCGCUCCGAUGCGUGUGCGUGUGCUUGGGCACUCGAUAGACAUAUAAAGGACAACGGAAAGUUGUGUAUCAGCGCCCCCUCCCCCGACUCUCAUUCACCUCACUACAGGCAUGAAGGUGCGUAGGAGAUCCUCCCUUUGUGUGUGUGUGUGUGUGCACGCGGACUGGUGUGCGCUCGAGGGAUCCGGUUUCGCAUGACGCUGUUGUAGCGCAAACACUAGACGUAUGAGAGCUUCCUCCCCUUCCCGCUUGCACUCCCUUCACGGUCGUCAUCACCUUCGCUGAUGGCCGUCGGUGAUCGGAUGCGUAGAGCUGCGCCAGGUAGAGGAGGGGAAACGCGUGAUACAUCUGAUGUGGCCGCAGAUCCACUUGUUUUGUCUUCCUACACCUCUACGCCGAGGCCGAAACGCGGUUAACGCUCCAAACAGUUAUGGACGAAGCAUGGGAAUGACCCGCGGGCAGCUCGACCUCAUCCUGCUCCUCUGAACCCUUCCCUGAUUAACAUGCCAUGAUAUCGCUCUCCCUCGUUCUCUUUCUCCUUGGCCGCGCGCACGCCCACGCACAUAUUAG